GAAGUGGCGUUGAUGAAGAAGAGUAAUUACAGGUGAACUCUAAAGAGAGCUGAUGGCUGCUGUGAAUCAGCGAGUAUCCUUGUGAUGAAUGGGCUUCGGAGCUCCAAACCGAAACAGUAUCGGAGUAGGCUUUGGCGGAAUGGUUUCUCGUUAUGGAAACUUAGAAGAUAAUAAUCUUCUUUUAGAGUGAGCUGCACGUCAGCUAAUAAAGGUGGUACCACGGUCCCUCGUCCUUUUA
rnacentral:ncRNA from 1 species